rnacentral:rRNA from 1 species
UAGGGAAUCUUCCACAAUGGACGCAAGUCUGAUGGAGCAACGCCGCGUGAGUGAAGAAGGCUUUCGGGUCGUAAAACUCUGUUAUUGAAGAAGAACGUGUGUGACAGUAACUGGUCAUGCAGUGACGGUAUUCAAUCAGAAAGUCACGGCUAACUACGUGCCAGCAGCCGCGGUAAUACGUAGGUGGCAAGCGUUGUCCGGAUUUAUUGGGCGUAAAGCGAGUGCAGGCGGUCUUUUAAGUCUGAUGUGAAAGCCUUCGGCUUAACCGAAGAAGGGCAUCGGAAACUGGGAGACUUGAGUGCAGAAGAGGAGAGUGGAACUCCAUGUGUAGCGGUGAAAUGCGUAGAUAUAUGGAAGAGCACCAGUGGCGAAGGCGGCUCUCUGGUCUGUAACUGACGCUGAGGCUCGAAAGCGUGGGUAGCAAACAGGAUUAGAUACCCUGGUAGUCCACGCCGU